GGAAGAGGAGGUCUUGCUGGCAUCAUCUGGUCACCUGCAAGAGACAGAGGUAAGUGGGAAGCCAGGAGUGCAGCUGCUCUCCAAAAGGUCUCACCUUCUGAGUGCAUCUGGACAUUUGGACCCAUUUCAUAAUUUAGUUGGGUUAAAAAAUACAUCUCCCUCCUUGGUGCUCUUGGCCCCAAGUGUCUUCCUCCCCCCCCCAAAAAAAGAUGACAAGAAUCCAUGGAUUCGUUUUGAUAUCCACAGAAAGGGACCAAACGGAGAACGGACUCCUUCCUUACCCAGCAGCCUCUCUCUGGUGUCCAAUGGAGUCCUUUUGGUCUCAGAGGAAUCACCAUUGGCUUCGCAAAUGGUGUAAACAGGAACGGUUUGGAUUCUUAGAUCACGGACUGCAGUUUCUUGAAGAUGGACUUUUGGCAAGCGAUGGGCUGCACCUCACAACGGUUGGGAGAAAUGUUUUUGCCAAAAAUCUCAGAAACCUCAUCAGGAGGGCUUUAAACUGACUAAUGUGGGGGAGGGAGACAGUGCUCCUGAAGGCAGGAGUCUAUCAAUUGAUGAAGAUGACCAUCCAAAUGUCAUAGACCAAAUGGAGCAAACAGCACACAGACCUAGUGGUGGGAGGAAAAAAUCCUUAAAUAAGAGUCACGGGGGAAUGAUUAAUGGACUUCAAUGUCUGUACACUAAUGCGCAAAGCAUGGGAAAUAAACAAGAUGAGCUUGAGCUCUUGGUACAGCAAACUAAAUAUGACAUAAUAGGCAUCACUGAAACCUGGUGGGAUAAGUCCCAUGAUUGGAAUGUAAUAAUGGGGGGAUACAAUCUAUUUCAGAGAAACAGACCAGACAAGAAAGGAGGAGGAGUGGCGUUAUAUGUCAGGGAUGUGUAUACCUGUGAAGAAAUCCAAGAUUUAGAACCUCAAAGCCAAAGUGAGAGCAUUUGGGUCAAAAUUAAGGGAGAGAAGAAUAACAGUGACCUCAUUGUGGGAGUUUACUAUAGAUCCCCAAGCCAAACGGAGGACAUAGAUGAUGCCUUCCUGGAACAGAUGGCCAAGCAUGCAAAAGGAAGGGAGAUAGUAGUAAUGGGGGACUUCAAUUACCCGGAUAUUUGUUGGAUGUCAAACUCAGCCAAGAGCAUAAGGUCAAACAGAUUCCUCACUGGCCUUGCAGACAACUUCAUUGUCCAGAAAGUGGGAGAAGCAACAAGAGGAACAGCCAUUUUAGAUCUGGUCCUAACCAAUGUUGAUGACCUGGUUAGUGGGGUAGAAGUGGAAGGAUCAUUAGGCGCGAGUGAUCAUGCUCUUCUGAAGUUUACUAUACAGCGGAAAGGAGCAGCCAAGCAUACUAGGACUCAAUUUCUCGACUUUAAGAAAGCUGACUUCAUAAAACUUAGGGAAGUGCUGGGUGAGAUCCCAUGGACAGUAAUACUAAAAGGAAAGGGAGUUCAUGAUGGCUGGGAGUUUGUUAAGAGGGAGAUAGUAAAAGCACAACGUCAGGCAAUACCAAUGAGACGGAAACAUGGAAGGUGCCUAAAGAAGCCAGGGUGGCUAUCUAAAGAACUUUUAACUGAGUUAAGAUUAAAAAGGAUGUGUACAAAAAUGGAAAAGGGGGAAACCACCAAAGAGGAAUUCAAACAAAUAGCCAGCACGUGUAGACACAAAGUCAGAAAAGCUAAAGCACAGAAUGAACUCAGGCUUGCUAGAGAGGUUAAAAGCAACAAAAAAGGCUUUUAUGGGUAUGUUCGUAGCAAAAGGAAGAACAAAGAAACAGUGGGGUCACUCAGAGGAGAAGAUGGUGAAAUGCAAACAGGGGACACAGAAAGAGCUGAACUCCUCAAUGCCUUCUUUGCCUCAGUCUUCUCCGAUCAAGAAAACAAUGCCCGACCUGAAGAAUUUGGAGCAAAUGAUUCAGCAAAGGAAACACAGCCCAGAAUAACUAAGGAGAUAGUACAAGAAUACUUGGCUAGUUUAGAUGUAUUCAAGUCUCCAGGGCCAGAUGAACUGCAUCCAAGAGUAUUAAAAGAACUGGCAGAUGUGAUCUCAGAACCACUGGCAGUCAUCUUUGAGAAUUCCUGGAGAACAGGCGAAGUCCCGGCAGACUGGAGGAGGGCAAAUGUUGUCCCUAUUUUCAAAAAGGGGAAAAGAGAGGACCCAAAUAAUUACCGCCCAGUCAGUCUGACAUCAAUACCAGGGAAGAUUCUGGAGCAGAUCAUUAAGCAAACAGUCUGUGAGCACCUAGAAAGGAAUGCUGUGAUCACCAAUAGUCAGCAUGGAUUUCUGAAAAAUAAGUCAUGUCAGACUAACCUGAUCUCAUUUUUUGACAGAAUUACAAGCCUGGUAGAUGAAGGGAACGCAGUGGAUGUAGCCUAGCUUGAUUUCAGCAAGGCAUUUGACAAGGUGCCUCAUGAUAUUCUUGUAAAGAAGCUGGUAAAAUGCGGUCUUGACUAUGCUACCACUCAGUGGAUUUGUAACUGGCUGACUGGACCGAACCCAAAGGGUGCUCAUCAAUGGUUCCUCUUCAUCCUGGAGAAGAGUGACUAGUGGGGUGCCACAGGGUUCUGUCUUGGGCCCGGUCUUAUUCAACAUCUUUAUCAACGACUUGGAUGAUGGACUCAAGGGCAUCCUGAUCAAAUUUGCAGAUGACACCAAAUUGGGAGGGGUGGCUAACACCCCAGAGGACAGGAUCACACUUCAAAACGACCUUGACAGAUUAGAGAACUGGGCCAAAACAAAUAAGAGGAAUUUUAACAGGAGAAAUGUAAAGUAUUGCACUUGGGCAAAAGAAAUGAGAGGCACAAAUACAAGAUGGGUGACACCUGGCUUGAGAGCAGUACAUGUGAAAAGGAUCUAGGAGUCUUGGUUGACCACAAACUUGACAUGAGCCAACAGUGUGUGACGCGGCAGCUAAAAAAGCCAAUGCAAUUCUGGGCUGCAUCAAUAGGAGUAUAGCAUCUAGAUCAAGGGAAGUAAUAGUGCCACUGUAUUCUGCUCUGGUCAGACCUCACCUGGAGUACUGUGUCCAGUUCUGGGCACCACAGUUCAAGAAGGACACUGACAAACUGGAACGUGUCCAGAGGAGGGCAACCAAAAUGGUCAAAGGCCUGGAAACGAUGCCUUAUGAGGAACGGCUAAGAGAGCUGGGCAUGUUUAGCCUGGAGAAGAGGAGGUUAAGGGGUGAUAUGAUAGCCAUGUUCAAAUAUAGAAAAGGAUGUCACAUAGAGGAGGGAGAAAGGUUGUUUUCUGCUGCUCCAGAGAAGCGGACACGGAGCAAUGGAUCCAAACUACAAGAAAGAAGAUUCCACCUAAACAUUAGGAAGAACUUCCUGACAAUAAGAGCUGUUCGACAGUGGAAUUUGCUGCCAAGGAGUGUGGUGGAGUCUCCUUCUUUGGAGGUCUUUAAGCAGAGGCUUGACAGCCAUAUGUCAGGAGUGCUCUGAUGGGGUUUCCUGCUUGGCAGGGGGUUGGACUCGAUGGCUCUUGUGGUCUCUUCCAACUCUAUGAUUCUAUGAUUCUAUGAUUCUAUGGGCCCAUUUCUGCAAACAGAUCCUGUCUCUGAAAUAGCAACGAAGAUUCAUAACAGAGAAUAUGAAGAAGAGUUAGAAAAGGAAUGACAGAGGCAAAAACUGAAGGGCAAUCUGAUAACAUUCAAUGGCUGCUUUCCAAAAAAAGGAUGGAGAAUUUUCAGAUACUCUCACUCAUGUUGAGCGUAUGUGCGGCUCUUGGGGGCGUUUUCUGCCUGCCUCCCGCCUGCAUUCCCUCCAUAAGACGCACACACAUGCCCCCUUUUUAGGAGGGGAAAAGUGUGUCUUAUGGAGAGAGAAAUACGGUAAGUCUCCCGCCCUCCUAGAGGGAAAGUGACCAUGCAAAAUGUGCAGGGAACUGCUGGUCUUUCUGAGAGAUGAAUCAGCCUGGUUGCCCCUGCCUUUCAGAGUUUUCAGUCAAGGAAUGAAGUCAGAACUGUGAUUGACAAGUGACUCAUUUGUACUGAGUGUUAUCUGAGCAUUGGGUUAUAGUGGGGGUCCUAACCCAGGGUUCCUCAAGAGUUGCUCUCCUGCCCAACCCCACUUCAGGGCCCAUUUAUUCCCUUAUCUGGCUAACUUCUGAGGGCCAAAUGACAUGUGGGUGGGGUCAAAGGGCAGCACUCAAAAACAAAUGAAGUGGGACUCGCCUUUCUAAGCGUGUAAUGUGUUUUCAACUGUUCUUAUUGCUGUUUUUUAUAUUUAGUAAUCAGCUCUUGGAAAUUCGGCUGAUGGGCAGGGAACUAACAAUAAUGAUGAUGAUGUUACAUUGCUUAACAUGCCCCCUCCCCAGUCAUGAAUACUUGAGGGCACUCCUGGGUCCAUCAUGGGCGCUUGAGGCCCAUGUCCAGCUCAGGCUACUUCCCCACCCCACAGACCUUUUGGGACAGAGAGGACAUGGCGCUGGUCUUUCCUGCUCUGCACCAGAUGGGAUGGUUGCAACACUCUCUGUGUGGAACUGCCCUUGAAGGCGACUCGGGAACUGGCCCAAAAUGCAGCAGCCAGAUGAUUGGCUGGGCUGCCUCUCUUUAUGAAGGACUUUCGUCUCCCACCUCUUUGUCCAAAGAGAUCAAGGUGGCAUCCAUGGGUCUACCCUUCCCCACUGAGUCCCCCCACAACAAACAAGUUGGAUUCCUGUUUUAAAACAGUUGCACUGGUUGUUUCCAUUCCAGCAGGACCUCUCCUGCUUUGGAUGCCUUGGCUUGUUAGACCUCCUGCGGUGCUUUCAUAGAACUAUAGAGGUGGAUGGCACCCCAAGGAUCAUCUAGUCCAACCCACAGCAGUCUCAGAGGGCAAACUUGCAUCUGGAGGAACUAAGCACUGGAGGAGAAAAUGGGCCCUUCAGAAUCAGGCCAGAGGGCUGCCUCCUAUAGGGGAGACAGAGAAGAGGAGCCACCCAUCGCCCUCUCCUUCUCCUCCACAGAUUGGCCUCCUCCUCCUCCUUGAUUGGUGGCCUCUGCCUGUUGUGGGAGGGAGUUCCACAGGUUUUACUCUGCCCUGCAAGAGGAAGCACUUUCUCUUCUCUGCCUUCCUUCCUUCCUUCCUUCCUUGCACAGGUGAGGUUUUAGGGACCAGGGUAUAUUUCAUGUCCGGAUGUUUCCAUCUGCGGACAACCUCUGUUAUACAAGGGGACUGAUCCAUACAUCUGAAUGGG